CCUACGGGUGGCUGCAGUGAGGAAUAUUGCACAAUGGACGAAAGUCUGAUGCAGCAACGCCGCGUGGAGGAUGAAGGUCUUUGGAUUGUAAACUCCUUUUCUCAGGGAAGAGAAUGGACGGUACCUGAGGAAUAAGUCACGGCUAACUACGUGCCAGCAGCCGCGGUAAUACGUAGGUGGCAAGCGUUAUCCGGAAUUACUGGGCGUAAAGCGCACGCAGGCGGUCUCUUAAGUUUGACGUGAAAGCUCCCGGCUUAACUGGGAGAGGUCGUUGA
rnacentral:rRNA from 1 species